CUUACCAUGCAGUCGACGAUGAAGCCCAGCUUGCUGGGUGGAUUAGUGGCGAACGGGUGAGUAACACGUGAGUAACCUGCCCUUAACUCUGGGAUAAGCCUGGGAAACUGGGUCUAAUACCGGAUAGGAGCGUCCACCGCAUGGUGGGUGUUGGAAAGAUUUAUCGGUUUUGGAUGGACUCGCGGCCUAUCAGCUUGUUGGUGAGGUAAUGGCUCACCAAGGCGACGACGGGUAGCCGGCCUGAGAGGGUGACCGGCCACACUGGGACUGAGACACGGCCCAGACUCCUACGGGAGGCAGCAGUGGGGAAUAUUGCACAAUGGGCGAAAGCCUGAUGCAGCGACGCCGCGUGAGGGAUGACGGCCUUCGGGUUGUAAACCUCUUUCAGUAGGGAAGAAGCGAAAGUGACGGUACCUGCAGAAGAAGCACCGGCUAACUACGUGCCAGCAGCCGCGGUAAUACGUAGGGUGCGAGCGUUAUCCGGAAUUAUUGGGCGUAAAGAGCUCGUAGGCGGUUUGUCGCGUCUGUCGUGAAAGUCCGGGGCUUAACCCCGGAUCUGCGGUGGGUACGGGCAGACUAGAGUGCAGUAGGGGAGACUGGAAUUCCUGGUGUAGCGGUGGAAUGCGCAGAUAUCAGGAGGAACACCGAUGGCGAAGGCAGGUCUCUGGGCUGUAACUGACGCUGAGGAGCGAAAGCAUGGGGAGCGAACAGGAUUAGAUACCCUGGUAGUCCAUGCCGUAAACGUUGGGCACUAGGUGUGGGGACCAUUCCACGGUUUCCGCGCCGCAGCUAACGCAUUAAGUGCCCCGCCUGGGGAGUACGGCCGCAAGGCUAAAACUCAAAGGAAUUGACGGGGGCCCGCACAAGCGGCGGAGCAUGCGGAUUAAUUCGAUGCAACGCGAAGAACCUUACCAAGGCUUGACAUGUUCUCGAUCGCCGUAGAGAUACGGUUUCCCCUUUGGGGGCGGGUUCACAGGUGGUGCAUGGUUGUCGUCAGCUCGUGUCGUGAGAUGUUGGGUUAAGUCCCCGCAACGAGCGCAAACCCUCGUUCCAUGUUGCCAGCACGUAGUGGUGGGGACUCAUGGGAGACUGCCGGGGUCAACUCGGAGGAAGGUGAGGACGACGUCAAAUCAUCAUGCCCCUUAUGUCUUGGGCUUCACGCAUGCUACAAUGGCCGGUACAAUGGGUUGCGAUACUGUGAGGUGGAGCUAAUCCCAAAAAGCCGGUCUCAGUUCGGAUUGGGGUCUGCAACUCGACCCCAUGAAGUCGGAGUCGCUAGUAAUCGCAGAUCAGCAACGCUGCGGUGAAUACGUUCCCGGGCCUUGUACACACCGCCCGUCAAGUCACGAAAGUUGGUAACACCCGAAGCCGGUGGCCUAACCCUUGUGGGGGAGCCGUCGAAGUGG
rnacentral:rRNA from 1 species